UAGGGAACCUGUGCUCAGACUGC
rnacentral:piRNA from 1 species